AUUGAACGCUGGCGGCAUGCCUUACACAUGCAAGUCGAACGGCAGCGCGGGAGCAAUCCUGGCGGCGAGUGGCGAACGGGUGAGUAAUAUAUCGGAACGUGCCCAGUAGUGGGGGAUAGCCCGGCGAAAGCCGGAUUAAUACCGCAUACGACCUACGGGUGAAAGGGGGGGAUCGCAAGACCUCUCGCUAUUGGAGCGGCCGAUAUCAGAUUAGGUAGUUGGUGGGGUAAAGGCCUACCAAGCCUGCGAUCUGUAGUUGGUCUGAGAGGACGACCAGCCACACUGGGACUGAGACACGGCCCAGACUCCUACGGGAGGCAGCAGUGGGGAAUUUUGGACAAUGGGCGCAAGCCUGAUCCAGCAAUGCCGCGUGCAGGAAGAAGGCCUUCGGGUUGUAAACUGCUUUUGUCAGGGAAGAAAUCCUCUGGGUUAAUACCUCGGGGGGAUGACGGUACCUGAAGAAUAAGCACCGGCUAACU
rnacentral:rRNA from 1 species